AUUUUUGUUUUCAGGAGGCUCAACUGGCAAGAAGUGAAGCAGAAAAAAUGGCUUCCCUGGCAGAUUCAGAGUCCCAGCGCUGUUUGGCCCUAGAAAGGAGGAUGAUGAUAGAAAUGCAGGGAGGAAAUGAAAGCUUGUCUGCCAUGGCACAACGUGAAGAGAUGGCUAAGAAGGACAGGUUGAUAGAAGAACUGAAUGAAACCGUAUGCAGGAGAGAGCAAGAGGCAGCCGAUCUGAGUGCACAAAGGGAUGCCCUUACUGUAAAACUAACUCAACUGGAAGAGCAAGUGCAGAGCCUUAACAUUUCCCUCCAGCAGAAAGAGAAACACACACAGACUCUCAGAGAAGAACUGGCUCAUGGAAAAGGCAAUACAGAGCAGGAGAUGCAAGUAAGACUUUUUCUUCUAUUUAUGUUUUAUCUCAAGUAAAUCUUUAUAAAAAGUA
rnacentral:lncRNA from 1 species